rnacentral:tRNA from 1 species
GUCUAUGUAGUAUACUUAUUACACUGGUCUUGUAAACCAGAGACGAGGAACAGCAAUUCCUCCAAAGACUC